rnacentral:rRNA from 1 species
CCUACGGGUGGCAGCAGUAGGGAAUAUUGCUCAAUGGGGGAAACCCUGAAGCAGCAACGCCGCGUGGAGGAUGAAGGUUUUCGGAUCGUAAACUCCUUUUGUUAGAGAAGAUAAUGACGGUAUCUAACGAAUAAGCACCGGCUAACUCCGUGCCAGCAGCCGCGGUAAUACGGAGGGUGCAAGCGUUACUCGGAAUCACUGGGCGUAAAGCGCGCGGAGGCGGGAUAGCAAGUCAGAUGUGAAAUCCUAUGGCUUAACCAUAGAACUGCAUUUGAAACUGGUAGUCUAGAGGAUGGGAGAGGUAGGUGGAAUUCUUGGUGUAGGGGUAAAAUCCGUAGAGAUCAAGAGGAAUACUCAUUGCGAAGGCGACCUGCUAGAACAUAACUGACGCUGAUGCUCGAAAGCGUGGGGAGCAAACAGGAUUAGAUACCCCGGUAGUC